rnacentral:lncRNA from 1 species
AUAAACAUGUAUAAAUAAAUAAAGAUGACACAUACAUUACUGUUUGAUGUUAAAAUGUAUAAGAACAAAUAAUACUAAUAUAAAUUGAAACUGAUAAUAAGUAGAUCAGCGUAUUACAUCUUUCACUAAAGACCAUAUAGACAGUGAUAAGUAAUAGUUAUUGCUCUAAAUCGUUGCAAUUUUAACAUUUGUUUAUUAAGAGAAAAAUUAAUACAUAUCACCAUAAAUUAAUAAAUAUCUAAAUGACUAUGCAAAUGAACCAUGGAAAGUAUGGGCCAAUGGAGAGAAUGUCUCAAUAUUUUUAUCAUCUCUGCCUUGCACUCUUCAGAAUGGAUGUGCUGAGCUGACUCAAGCAUUCUUCCUUAAUCACGAUUAAGUAUCCUCCAUAUGAGAGAGACCAAUGAUGGACACUUCUGAGCUGGCAGAACAUCUGGCCUUGGUCUGGAGCCAUAUGUCUGCUCCUCUGUAGACGUGCACAUGGGCAGUAAUGGAUGCAGUGAGCUGAUCAUUUUGCUGUGAUGAAGGCUAUGUUGCCUCUAUGUUACGCCAAUAAUGGACGUGCCUUCACUGACCUACGUGUUUGCAAGUUCCAUGGCUGCCCCCCGUGUUUGGAGCAUGGAGACCGAUGGAAGAUGACAAGCACUGAUCAAGGAGGACUGUCUCGUCUGUUUGUGAUCUGCUCUGCUCUGUGAGCCUCGGGAUGGAUGUUCGCCAGCUGAUCCCAUGGUUACAAGCUCUGUGGCUGCAUCUAUGCGUUCGGAGCGUGCAGACCAAUGUGAGUCAUUGCCAAUGCUCCUUGUUUUGAAGGAGCAUCGACUAUUU